rnacentral:lncRNA from 10 species
CCGGAUUUGAACCAGCAUUUCAAAAGGAGGCCCUGGGAGUUACUGCUGGAAAUACAGGUCUCCCGAGCAGUGGUGUGGGGUGAGUCCACCCUGAUGUCACCCCCUCUCCCAAGUGACCUCAUUCCUCCUGCUGCCAGGAGCCAACGCUUAGCUGUCCCCCAUGGUACUGCUACACACCCCAGCAGCAUCUGUGGAGGGGAUGUCUGCCCAUGAAUCAAAGACUGACCUUAGCUCUGGCAAUGUCCCUUAAGAGGAAGUACAGCUGGAAUGUGGCUCUUAUGGCUGACAAAGGAGGAUCACUUGAGGCCAGGAGUUUGAGACUAGCCUGGGCAACAUAGGGAUACUCCAUCCCUACAAAAAAUUUAAAAAAUUAGCCAGGUGUGGUGGUGUGCACCUGUAGUCCCAGCUGCUCAGAAGGCUGGGGUGGAAAGAUCCCUUGAGUCCAGGAGUACAAGGCUGCAGUGGACUGUGAUUGUGCCACUGCACUCCAGCCUGAGUGACAGAGCAAGACACCGUCUCUCAAGUAAAUAAAUAAAUAAAGCCUGGCUCCCUCACUAACUACUACAUGACCUUGGGCAAGUACCUAAGUCUGUGGGGAACAGUGGUUUCCUGACCUGUAAAAGGGAGAAACCACACCUUACUCCUUGCAAGGAAAGGAGCCCUUCCCACAGGCUCCGUGCGAAGCCCUUAAUACCCACAUGCCAUUUUCACUAGUGACCUGUGAAAUGUCAUUUUUAUAGCCUGUCUCAUUUUUAUUUUAACUUUUUAUCAUGGAAAAUGUCAGGUACAGGGCCAGACACAGUGGCUCACACCCGUAAUCCCAGCACUUUGGGAGGUCAAGGUGGGAGGACCACCUGAGCCUGGGAGUUCGAGACCAGCCAGGGCAACAGCAUAGUGUUAGCC